AGGGCAGAGAUAGGAGGGAUAUUAGACACUGGGAAGGGAUCCUUCCUUGGGAGGGUGGGGAGGCCCUGGCACAGGUUGCCCAGAGAAGCUGUGGCUGCCCCUGGAUCCCUGGAA